rnacentral:rRNA from 1 species
GAUGAACGCUAGCGACAGGCUUAACACAUGCAAGUCGAGGGGCAGCGGGGUAGUGCUUGCACUACUGCCGGCGACCGGCGCACGGGUGAGUAACACGUAUGGAACCUGCCCGCAGCAGGGGGAUAAGCGGAAGAAAUUCCGUCUAAUACCGCGUAACAACGUUGGGAGGCAUCUCCCGAUGUUUAAAGAUUUAUCGGCUGCGGAUGGCCAUGCGGCGCAUUAGCUAGUCGGCGGGGUAACGGCCCACCGAGGCGACGAUGCGUAGGGGUUCUGAGAGGAAGGUCCCCCACACUGGUACUGAGACACGGACCAGACUCCUACGGGAGGCAGCAGUGAGGAAUAUUGGUCAAUGGCCGAGAGGCUGAACCAGCCAAGUCGCGUGAGGGAAGACGGCCCUACGGGUUGUAAACCUCUUUUGUCGGGGAGCAAAGCGAACCACGUGUGGUUCAUUGAGAGUACCCGAAGAAAAAGCAUCGGCUAACUCCGUGCCAGCAGCCGCGGUAAUACGGAGGAUGCGAGCGUUAUCCGGAUUUAUUGGGUUUAAAGGGUGCGCAGGCGGAGGUGCAAGUCAGCGGUCAAAUUGCGGGGCUCAACCCCGUACUGCCGUUGAAACUGCAUCCCUUGAGUGCGCGAGAAGUAUGCGGAAUGCGUGGUGUAGCGGUGAAAUGCAUAGAUAUCACGCAGAACUCCGAUUGCGAAGGCAGCAUACCGGCGCGCAACUGACGCUCAUGCACGAAAGCGUGGGUAUCGAACAGGAUUAGAUACCCUGGUAGUCCACGCAGUAAACGAUGAACACUAACUGUUCGGCCAGAAUGAUGGCUGAGUGGUACAGCGAAAGCGUUAAGUGUUCCACCUGGGGAGUACGCCGGCAACGGUGAAACUCAAAGGAAUUGACGGGGGCCCGCACAAGCGAAGGAACAUGUGGUUUAAUUCGAUGAUACGCGAGGAACCUUACCCGGGCUCAAACGACACAGGAAUACUUUUGAAAGGAGGUAGCCCUACGGGGUCUGUGUCGAGGUGCUGCAUGGUUGUCGUCAGCUCGUGCCGUGAGGUGUCGGCUUAAGUGCCAUAACGAGCGCAACCCCUAUCGCCAGUUACCAUCAAGUAAAGUUGGGGACUCUGGCGAGACUGCCGGCGCAAGCUGAGAGGAAGGCGGGGAUGACGUCAAAUCAGCACGGCCCUUACGUCCGGGGCGACACACGUGUUACAAUGGCAGGUACAGAGAGAAGCCAGGUGGCGACACCGCGCGGAACUCGAAAGCCUGUCUCAGUUCGGAUCGGAGUCUGCAACCCGACUCCGUGAAGCUGGAUUCGCUAGUAAUCGCGCAUCAGCCAUGGCGCGGUGAAUACG